UUUGGUGUAGGCCAGGACAGC
rnacentral:miRNA from 1 species